rnacentral:rRNA from 1 species
GACAGAGGUCCCGAGCGUUAGGCGGAAUCACUGGGCUUAAAGCGUGUGUAGGCGGAUUUGUAAGUACCUUGUGAAAUCCCACGGCUUAACCGUGGAACUGCUUGGUAUACUGCUUAUCUUGGGCCAGCUAGGGGCUACCGGAACAAGUGGUGGAGCGGUGAAAUGCGUAGAUAUUGGGAGGAACACCAGUGGCGAAGGCGGCUUGCCAGAACGCACUCGACGGUGAGGGAUGAAAGCUGGGGGAGCAAACCGG